rnacentral:rRNA from 1 species
UACGGGGGGGGCAAGCGUUGUUCGGAAUUACUGGGCGUAAAGGGCUCGUAGGCGGCCAACUAAGUCAGACGUGAAAUCCCUCGGCUUAACCGGGGAACUGCGUCUGAUACUGGAUGGCUUGAGGUUGGGAGAGGGAUGCGGAAUUCCAGGUGUAGCGGUGAAAUGCGUAGAUAUCUGGAGGAACACCGGUGGCGAAGGCGGCAUCCUGGACCAAUACUGACGCUGAGGAGCGAAAGCGUGGGGAGCGAACAGG